rnacentral:rRNA from 1 species
ACCCAGACUCCUACGGGAGGCAGCAGUGGGGAAUAUUGGGCAAUGGGCGCAAGCCUGACCCAGCAACGCCGCGUGAAGGAAGAAGGCUUUCGGGUUGUAAACUUCUUUUCUCAGGGACGAAGCAAGUGACGGUACCUGAGGAAUAAGCCACGGCUAACUACGUGCCAGCAGCCGCGGUAAUACGUAGGUGGCAAGCGUUAUCCGGAUUUACUGGGUGUAAAGGGCGUGUAGGCGGGAAAGCAAGUCAGAUGUGAAAACCAUGGGCUCAACCUGUGGCCUGCAUUUGAAACUGUUGUUCUUGAGUACUGGAGAGGCAGACGGAAUUCCUAGUGUAGCGGUGAAAUGCGUAGAUAUUAGGAGGAGCACCAGUGGCGAAGGCGGUCUGCUGGACAGCAACUGACGCUGAGGCGCGAAAGCGUGGGGAGCAAACAG